CUUACGGAAAAGGUUAUCUUUUCCUGUAGCAAGGGCCAGGAAUUAACCGAUAGCAGUUCCUGACAAGCACUAAACUCAUUUCAGGAAUGUAAUUUGGACUUUUUUUUUUUCCAACCUGGUAUUUUCAGAGAGAUAUCAAAGCACACAGUGGUAAAGGCUUGCCUUUAAAUAGCCAGGGCUUUCUCUUGGUGAAGUACUCCAACUUUUGCUCCACACACCUGUGCUUAGUGUGACAUUUAGGUAAUAAUGCUGAAGAAGAUGGCAAUCUAUUCAGCAGUGCUGGCUCUGAUUCUGGUCAACCUGCUAAAGGCACAAGGCACACCUGUUACCCCUGUGCUUGAGGAAACGAGCGUGGAGCAAAGCAAUGAUCUCAACAUGCAAUCAAGCAGCGAGUUCCCUGUGGAAUACAGCAGAGACCCAUACAAAGAGGAAGGCAUGGAGCAAUCUGGGAACACUGGAGUACAGGAAGUGGAACAGGCCAUUUGGGAGAUAAGUGGAGAGCCAAGUACUGAAACCACCCCUAACUCAAGUGCGGAGUCAAACGAAGAACCAACUCAGAAGCCAACCACUGAACUAUCUGAAUAAACAGCAGCAUUAUAUCCUGAUGGAAAAGCAAUGGCCGCUCUUACCUGCAGAGUUGAUAUCAGCACUAUCAGAUGGUAUUAAAGCAUACAAAUAGUGCAUGCAACAAGCUGGAUGGAAGGGCAGAAUUCACUGCAGCUCACUGUGAAACUACAACUUGUAGGAAAAUAGCCUAGAAAUGCUGUCUAAUUCUUGCUUACUUAAACAGUUAAACUAGAUCACAAGUAACCUGUGCUCUUUUGCUUGCAUAAUAAUGUGAAAUAAAGAAUGUCAGUGCAAAUAUAUGUCUUGUCA
rnacentral:lncRNA from 1 species